rnacentral:lncRNA from 1 species
GAGAGACGUAAGGUCGGCGGAGAAUGCGCGGGUCGAGUGCUGUAGUUCGAUUUUUGCGUGUGUGCGUUGCUUGCGGCCUUUGUGCCUUUUUAUUCUUUGCUUACCUUUAUGAUAUAAAGACCUUAUUUCUUACAAGGAGGAAAAGACCGCUGACUUCAGAAACAGCGGGAACCCCAGCUCGUCCCCGGUAAGACGGCCGUGGCCUGUCAGCUGGAACGGUCCUGCCGGAUGGAUCGCUCUUUGAGAGCGUACACUCCCGCGUGCGCGACACCAGGCGGCCCGUAGGUUCCAGGUGCCGAGCACACUACCUCCUCAGUUUACCUAAGUGCCCUACCAGUAUCAUAUUCUGUGUAUGCUGUGAUGUGAACGAGGUUUGUAAACACAGGCUGGUCUAAUGGAGCCCAAUGAGACCGCCAGAGGAUUAGUGUCUUGUCCAACAGUACUUGACUUGCUGGUAGAGCCCUAAUGACUGAGGGCUGCCCACAAGGGAAAGGUGAGAGAACCUUCACGUCUCUCAGGUAGUUUCCAGCCUGCACUUUCCCCCAGCUAAAGAUAAGUUUUGUUAUUUUUAAAAUUCUCUUUAUUUAGAGCAAAUUCAGCCCUAUCUCAGAUCGGGAAAUUAUAUAGUAUCAAAAGAGAGAGUCUUCAUAUUAGCAACCCAAAUAAAUAAACUAUUUUCCUGGGUGAUCAAAUAAGUUUGAUUCCUGCUUGAGUUCUAUUUAGAUACUAGGUGGAAUUUUACAAAGGGUCUACGUUCCAUGAACUGUAAUGGAAUGAAAAUAUUCACAAUCUAAAGACAUUUUCACAUUCCCAGUUUACAGCUGAGGAAAUUAAGCU